UUGAACGCUGGCGGAAUGCUUUACACAUGCAAGUCGAGCGGCAGCGCGGGGGCAACCCUGGCGGCGAGCGGCGAACGGGUGAGUAACAUAUCGGAACGUACCCUAUCGUGGGGGAUAACACAUCGAAAGAUGUGCUAAUACCGCAUACGACCUGAGGGUGAAAGCAGGGGAUCGCAAGACCUUGCGCGACAGGAGCGGCCGAUAUCGGAUUAGCUAGUUGGUGAGGUAAAGGCUCACCAAGGCGACGAUCCGUAGCUGGUCUGAGAGGACGACCAGCCACACUGGAACUGAGACACGGUCCAGACUCCUACGGGAGGCGGCAGUGGGGAAUUUUGGACAAUGGGGGCAACCCUGAUCCAGCCAUUCCGCGUGAGUGAAGAAGGCCUUCGGGUCGUAAAACUCUUUCGGCAGGAACGAAACGGUGAGCUCUAACAUAGCUUGCUAAUGACGGUACCUGAAGAAGAAGCACCGGCUAACUACGU
rnacentral:rRNA from 1 species